rnacentral:rRNA from 1 species
AUUGAACGCUGGCGGCAGGCUUAACACAUGCAAGUCGAGCGGAGCGAGGGUGCUUGCACCUUAGCUUAGCGGCGGACGGGUGGGUAAUGCUUAGGAAUCUGCCUAUUAGUGGGGGACAACAUUCCGAAAGGAAUGCUAAUACCGCACACGCCCUACGGGGGAAAGCAGGGGAUCUUCGGACCUUGCGCUAAUAGAUGAGCCUAAGUCGGAUUAGCUAGUUGGUGGGGUAAAGGCCUACCAAGGCGACGAUCUGUAGCGGGUCUGAGAGGAUGAUCCGGCACACUGGGACUGAGACACGGCCCAGACUCCUACGGGAGGCAGCAGUGGGGAAUAUUGGACAAUGGGCGGAAGCCUGAUCCAGCCAUGCCGCGUGUGUGAAGAAGGCCUUUUGGUUGUAAAGCACUUUAAGCGAGGAGGAGGCUACUGGUACUAAUACUACUGGAUAGUGGACGUUACUCGCAGAAUAAGCACCGGCUAACUCUAUGCCAGCAGCCGCAGUAAAAC